AGUGGAAGUGAUCGAGCCUGUUUUAACAGGUUAGGAAAGUCCAUGCUAGCACAUCCUGAGAUGGAUGUAGUGUUUGUGCCUAGGGAAAUCAUAACCUAGGGUACGAGAAAUCGUAACGGCGAUCGAUGAUCUAAGGGAAACUAUGAUCUAGACUUAAUGUGCCACAGAGACGAGCUAUUUAGAAAUAAAUAGAUGAAACGCGGUAAACCCCUCAAGCUAGCAACCCAAAUUUGGUAGGGGCACGUAUAUAGAUGAAUCAAAAUCGAUAUACGCUACUUAUGUAGAGAUAAAUGGUCACACCCUUUUUAAGGGAACAGAACAUGGCUUAUGAAC
rnacentral:RNase_P_RNA from 1 species